AUUGCAAGUGAUAGAUGCGUUGAUGACAAUGGCUGAACCGAGCUUUACUCCAUCGGGUUAAUCGCGUUGCAACUGCCUGUAAUUUGGAUGUUAAUGAGAUGAUGGCCGAGCUUGCAGCAAUAUAGGACAAUGAUCCGAACCAAUAGACGGAAGGGCAAAUGCUUCUGCAGAAGGGUAAAACAUCAACCAUUCCAGUGAACAAAAUACACGAUCCAGCUUCUCCUUUACUAGAGCAUCCCCUUCGCGAUUAUUGGACCAGGGAGAAAGGAAGUCAUUGAAAUCACCUAUACACAGCCACGGUAAGUGAUUUGC